UUGCGAGCGACUGGACUGUCGUCUUUCUGGUUGCCUCUCCUCCGCCUCUCGGGGGAGGGGGUGGAAUAACGAGCCCCGCGAAUCCUUGUCCCGGAAGUUUCGAUUCAGCCAGGAGCCGGCUUACGGAACUCUUUUCUGGGACUGGCUGCGGCGAUUUGAUGCAACGGAGCUUCCUCGCUGGCUCUUCUCGCCCCGCCUCACGAACCACAGGAGCCGUAGCUAUCCGGGCCGCAGGCCUGAAGUGGGGGGCGGAGCCUCCUGGAAAGAGGCGGAGCCGCGCCCACGAGCGAGCCGACCAUGAGGACUGUUUUUUUUAAACGGAGUCAAUAGGGGAAGUGGGCUGAGUUAAGAGCGGGGAUGAGUCACGCCGGAGGGAGGGCGGAGCCUCGGGAACGUGUUAGGGACGGAGGGCGGCUGGUGAGAAAACGCGCCACGGGAGAACUAAGCCUCUGGUUAGUGGUUUGGAGAGCCCGCCUUCAUCUUUCGUUUGAAAGACACAUUUUCUGCCCAAUCAACAGGAGAGAUGCUGAGCGAAAGGAGGAAGGUUUCCGUCUUUUGCAAGCGAUGUUUUUACCUGCCCGGAAGAAAGACGCACCUGUGGGACGGUGGUUUCCUUUCUUUUUUUACCCGAGUAAUGAUUGGCUUGGAGGCAUGGUUUGCGGGUCUGUCCUGUGUUUACCCGAAAGGUAAACCGAAAGGAGUAACCUGACAAAGGAUUACCGUUUUGCAAGGCAUUCCUGGUUGCGUUGACUGCAGAAAUCAGUCCUCUGAUUAAAUGGAGUUUAUUCCGAAGUGAGCGGACAGAGGAUUGUAUCUGAUGGGACAAACAAUGGCUUUUCUUGUAACCUCUUAGCCUUCCCGGUGGAUAGUUGACAGGCCAGGUAGUUCUCUUCUGGAAGGAUUGUUGCUUUCCUCAGCGAUUAAGGCACAUAGAAGUUAGAAAAUUAUACUAGUAUUACCCUGGGACAACAGUUGCUGGUGUAAUAUGAAACAGGCCUGUAAGCAUCUAAACAUGGGUAAUUAAGCAUAUUGUACAGAUGAAAAAGAUAGCUGAGAACAUUCCUUCUAAAUCCCUUUGCGUAAUGUAAAUCUAAGAUUCAAAAUGUACCUUUUAUGUUUAUUUUUAAAACAAGCCAUGUCUUGUUCUAGUUUUUUUUUUAAAAUCACCCCAAGUAACAAAUAUAAUCAAAAGUAGAAAAAAAUAGCAUUUUUUAAAAAAAUAUCCCAUAGAAAUUCUAUUUAUUUUAUGCCAUUUUUGAGAGCUUUAUCACUAUAAAUAUAUGCUAUGUUUAUUUUUAAAAAAUAAAAAUCUUUCAUGGAAAUUCUAUUUACUUUAUUGCAUUUUUGAGAGCUUUUAUCACAAUAAAAAUGUUACUUUUAUUAAAAAUAUAUUGCACCUGCAUUUUUGUUGAAUUGUUUUGUAAUAUUUGUGUGUUUUAAA